rnacentral:lncRNA from 1 species
AAGAUCAUCUGCUGCAUGUCUUAAGCACUUUUUGCCAAGACGCUUAUUUGGGUUUUAUUAGCAGACGACAUCAAUCGGACCAGACACGUGCGUAGGUGGACUGCUGUCUGCAGAGACCAACACUUAGCCCAGCGGUUCUCAAUCUUUUACUAGUGACGCCCCAGUGACAAACAAAGGAAACCAAACCAGCACUUGAUGCCAUCUGGUAGAAGAUGCUUUCAUGGUUCCUCAGCAAACUUUCUGGAGUGUCCAAUUCUGCUAUCUGACCCUUGUCAACAGCAGUAGCUUCAUCUAAGAUGAGAAUUUUGGUUUUCCGAAGGAGCGAGCGUGCCAGGCAGAGCAACUGUCGCUGACCCACACUAACUGGUCAGGCAAGGAGCUGACAAAGGCGUUCAGGUGAGCGUGUUCUAGAGCUGUCCACACCUGGGCAUCACUGUAUUCAUCAAAUGGAUCCAGGUUCAUUCUCAGGCUCCCAGCAAAGAUGACUGGAUCCUUGGCACAAGAAGCAGAGGAUAUCAUCUUCAAGUGGAAGCCAUUUCCCACCAAAUCAACCAAUUAACCAGCUCAACAAUCUUUUCAUCAAUUGCCCCAUGCAGAUGAAGGCUGCGAGAGCAUUCAUGUUGAGUCAUCUGCAGGCUCAAGCAAACGAAACAGUGACAAAGUGAGCGAUGAUUUGCCUGCACCAGUUCGUCCAACAAUACCAACCUUUCAUAUUGGAAAGAAGCAUAAUAAAUGAAUGAGCUAAGAGUAUAUAUUUAAGUUUAGCUAAUAAAAUUCUGUAAAAUAUCAAAAUAAUCAUAAAUGCCAGUGCAGUUA